rnacentral:rRNA from 1 species
CACGUAGGGUGCGAGCGUUGUCCGGAAUUAUUGGGCGUAAAGAGCUCGUAGGCGGUGUGUCGCGUCGGCCGUGAAAACCUGCAGCUUAACUGUGGGCUUGCGGUCGAUACGGGCAUCACUGGAGUUCGGCAGGGGAGACUGGAAUUCCUGGUGUAGCGGUGAAAUGCGCAGAUAUCAGGAGGAACACCGGUGGCGAAGGCGGGUCUCUGGGCCGAAACUGACGCUGAGGAGCGAAAGCGUGGGUAGCAAACAGG